rnacentral:tRNA from 2 species
GGAGGAGUGACUGAGUGGCCGAAAGUGGCGGUCUUGAAAACCGUUGACCUUAACGGGUCCGUGGGUUCGAAUCCUACCUCCUCCGCCA